AUCGUUGUCUCAGCCUUUGCAUCAGGUGUCGCUCUUUGGGCUUUCCUCGAAUGACGUCUCAGAGCGAGUCAUCUGCUCCAUCCGUUCUGCAACAGAGCCAUGUGAACCUGGAGGAGAGCAGGAUGGCCACCCGGGGGAGACAAGAGGAGGAGAGCGGAGAUGAUGAAUAUGACUGAUCUGGAAAACCACGGCGACAGGCAGCGACGUGGUGGUGCCUCCUCCCCACAGCUUUGCCUCCAGGCGUGUCUCCAGACGGCCGUGGGCCCCUGCUCCUCCACCAUGUCAGCUGGACGAAGCCACGCUCACUGUGAACCACUAUGGCCUGGGACCCCGCGGUGCCAAAGCCUUGGCCAUGGCCAUGGCGCUGGAGAAUAACUAUGGGCUCACCAGCCUUGAGCUAGCAGAUAGCUGUCUUCUGGCGGAGGGGACACGUCACCUGAUGCAGAUGCUCAAACAGAACCGUAGCAUCAUCAGCCUGGGAACACCAUAUUUCUAUGAUUUUGCAGAACGCAGUAACAUUUGUGUUGCUGCAGAAACUUUGUGGUAUUUAUGAUUCCAGUUAGUCUAUGACAGCUCAUGCAUAAAGCUUUUAUUUCUUUUAUUUUAAAUAUUAUUAUUUUAUAUUUUCAUUUAUUUAAUUUUGAUUUUUAUUCAGUUUCCCCUGGGGAAUGAAUAAAGUAUUUCUGAUUUUACAUUACGAUAUAAACAAUACAAACAACAUGCUUUCUUAUACUAUUAAUUGAAGUACAUCCUGGCUACACUGAUGAUUUUUCAUCUCAACAUCUAUUGCUUCACUUUAUGUGGAUUUUGUCAUAAAAAUUUUUUUUUAGUAGUGGUGAUAAAUCCCAAAACCUGAGCAGUUUUUUUUCAAUCUCUACCCAUUAGUUGACUGUGUGUGCCCAUUAGUUGACUGUGUGAAUCAGUUUGCUGCAGAAUCUGUCCGACAAUCACCUGCGGCUGCCAGGAGCUGACAGCGUCUCCAAAAUGCUUCUGCACAACAGUUUCCUCAAAUCCAUCAAACUCUCAGGUACCCUGCUGAAUGACUGAGGAGAAAACAAACAAGAGAA